rnacentral:rRNA from 1 species
UACAAUUAAUAAUUUAAAUAAGUUUAAUUUAUAAAUGUAAGAAUUUUAUUAUGAAAAUUAAGGAAUAAUUAUUAAGUGAAAUUUUAAUUAUUGAAAAAUUUAGAGAUUAAAGUUAAUAUUUAUUUUAUUGAAUUUUAGUAAUUAAAGUAGGAUUAGAUACCCUAUUAUUUAAAACAAUUAUAGAAAAUUAAAUUAGUAGAUUUAUAUUGAAAUUUAAAGAAUAUGGCAGUAUUUUAUUCAAUUUAGAGGAACCUGUUUGAGUUUGACAAUCCACGAUUAAUUUUAUUUAGUUUUAUUUAAUUUAUAUAUCGUCGUUAUAAAAGUUUUUUAUAAGAAUUUAUAAAAUUUUAUAUUUAAAAUUUUAAGUUAAAUCAGAUCAAGAUGUAGUUUAUAAUUAAAGUAAUAAUGGGUUAUAGUAAAUAAAUUUUUGGAUAUUUAAAUGAAAAUUUAGAUUUAAUUUAGAUUUAAAUGUAAUUUAAUUGAGUUAAGUUAAAUGAUUUUAUGUUUUAUAAUA